GUCUAUGGCCAUACCAUCCUGAACACACCCGAUCUCAUCUGAUCUCAGAAGCUAGGUAGGGUUGGGCCUGGUUAGUACUUGGAUGGGAGACCACCUGGGAAUACCGGCUGCUGUAGGCU
rnacentral:rRNA from 1 species